rnacentral:hammerhead_ribozyme from 1 species
AUCCAGCUGACGAGUCUCAAAUAGGAUGAAACGCGCACCGUGGAU